rnacentral:rRNA from 1 species
GACGAACGCUGGCGGCGUGCUUAACACAUGCAAGUCGAACGGAAAGACCCUGCUUUUGUGGGGUGCUCGAGUGGCAAACGGGUGAGUAACACGUGAGUAACCUGCCCUUGACUUUGGGAUAACUUCAGGAAACUGGGGCUAAUACCGGAUAGGAGCUCCUGCUGCAUGGUGGGGGUUGGAAAGUUUCGGCGGUUGGGGAUGGACUCGCGGCUUAUCAGCUUGUUGGUGGGGUAGUGGCUUACCAAGGCUUUGACGGGUAGCCGGCCUGAGAGGGUGACCGGCCACAUUGGGACUGAGAUACGGCCCAGACUCCUACGGGAGGCAGCAGUGGGGAAUAUUGCACAAUGGGCGGAAGCCUGAUGCAGCAACGCCGCGUGCGGGAUGACGGCCUUCGGGUUGUAAACCGCUUUCGCCUGUGACGAAGCGUGAGUGACGGUAAUGGGUAAAGAAGCACCGGCUAACUACGUG